ACUCCUACGGGAGGCAGCAGUGGGGAAUAUUGGACAAUGGGGGGAACCCGUAGCUCCAGCCAUGCCGCGUGUGUGAAGAAGGCCUUUUGGUUGUAAAAGCACUUUAAGCGAGGAGGAGGCUUACCUGGUUAAUACCUGGGAUAAGUGGACGUUACUCGCAGAAUAAGCACCGGCUAACUCUGUGCCAGCAGCCGCGGUAAUACAGAGGGUGCAAGCGUUAAUCGGAUUUACUGGGCGUAAAGCGCGCGUAGGUGGCUAAUUAAGUCAAAUGUGAAAUCCCCGAGCUUAACUUGGGAAUUGCAUUCGAUACUGGUUAGCUAGAGUAUGGGAGAGGAUGGUAGAAUUCCAGGUGUAGCGGUGAAAUGCGUAGAGAUCUGGAGGAAUACCGAUGGCGAAGGCAGCCAUCUGGCCUAAUNCUGACACUGAGGUGCGAAAGCAUGGGGAGCAAACAGGAUUAGAUACCCUGGUAGCUACGAGU
rnacentral:rRNA from 1 species